rnacentral:rRNA from 1 species
GUAGGUGGCAAGCGUUGUCCGGAAUUAUUGGGCGUAAAGCGCGCGCAGGCGGUCCUUUAAGUCUGAUGUGAAAGCCCACGGCUCAACCGUGGAGGGUCAUUGGAAACUGGGGGACUUGAGUACAGAAGAGGAAAGCGGAAUUCCAAGUGUAGCGGUGAAAUGCGUAGAGAUUUGGAGGAACACCAGUGGCGAAGGCGGCUUUCUGGUCUGUAACUGACGCUGAGGCGCGAAAGCGUGGGGAGCAAACAGGAUUAGAUACCCUGGUAGUCCACGCCGUAAACGAUGAGUGCUAAGUGUUAGGGGGUUUCCCGCCCCCCUUAGCGCUGCAGCUAACGCAUUAAGCACUCCGCCUGGGGAGUACGGCCGCAAGGCUG